CUGGUUCACAGGGAGUAGUAGUUGGUUUCUCUGGUUCGCAGGGAGUAGUUGGCUUCACUGGUUCACAUGGAGUAGUUGUUUUCUCUGGUUCACAAGGAGUAGUAGUUGGUUUCUCUGGUUCGCAAGGAGUGGUGGUAGUUGUUUUCUCUGGUUCACAGGGAGUAGUAGUUGGUUUCUCUGGUUCGCAGGGAGUAGUUGGCUUCACUGGUUCACAUGGAGUAGUUGUUUUCUCUGGUUCACAAGGAGUAGUAGUUGGUUUCUCUGGUUCGCAAGGAGGAGUAGUUGGUUUCUCUGGUUCACAAGGAGUAGUAGUUGAUUUCUCUGGUUCACAGGGAGGAGUAGUUGUUUUCUCUGGUUCACAAGGAGUAGUAGUUGGUUUCUCUGGUUCGCAAGGAGUGGUGGUAGUUGUUUUCUCUGGUUCACAGGGAGUAGUAGUUGGUUUCUCUGGUUCACAGGGAGUAGUUGGUUUCUCUGGUUCACAAGGAGGAGUAGUUGGUUUCUCUGGUUCGCAAGGAGAGGUGGUAGUUGUUUUCUCUGGUUCACAGGGAGUAGUUGAUUUCCCUGGUUCACAAGGAGUAGUUGGUUUCUCUGG